UCAGCUAGGGCUUGGCAGAUAAGUUAUGGCCUGGCUCCCCCUGCAGGCCAAGCUGGGUGCUGACAAUUGGUCCCGGAAACCUCACAGAGCCGUGGGGAGGUUGCUGUCUCUGGGGCGAGCCAGUGCCCUUUCUUGCCAAGCUGCAGUAUGUCCCCACACAGGGUUCCACAAGGAGUUUGCAUUAAAGAGGGGUUUGCAGGAGCCAUGGGGGCUCUGACCCUCCCAGCAGCGCAUUCCCUGCCUUGGAAAUGACUCUGCUGUGAGGGGGCUGGGCUCCCGCUGUGCCUGGGGGGCUGGGACCCCCAGCUGCCCCUUCCAUGGCUGUAACGCUGUCCCUUUCUUGCAGGUGAUUGAGGAGGUGAGCAGCUCUCCUCUCAGCAGGCCUUCUGCCCACAGCUCUCCAGUAUUGCCCAGCUCAGAGCAGGGCAGGAACUCACCCCAGGUGAGAGGUUCCCAGCUUGGCUCUGACUCAGAUGAGGAGAACUCCCCUGUCAGCCCAGCUGCAGCCGGCUGCAUCCCAACUGGAGAGCCAAAGAAGGGAGGUUUCCUGGACGUGCUGCUGAACGGCCAGUGGCAGAAGCUGUGGUGCAGGGUGGAGCAGGGCACCCUACGGAUGUUCAGAGACCCCAGCUGCACUGAGAGCCCCGAGUACGCUGUGCCGCUGGCGGGCAGCAAUGUGACUCCGGGGGCCGACGUGGGCCGACGCCAUCACAUCCACAUCAGCCAGCAAGGCAGAGAGGUCGCCAUCCUGCAGACCCACUCGGACGAAGAGAGGGACGUCUGGCUGAAGAUCCUGCAGGUGGAGAAGGG